rnacentral:tRNA from 1 species
AAGAGUAUAAUUUAAAGGUAAAAUGUUGGUCUCCAAAACCAAAUUUAAGGGUUCGAGUCCCUUUUCUCUUG